rnacentral:piRNA from 1 species
UGUGACUGACACCCCANUUGUCCUUGCCUG